rnacentral:rRNA from 1 species
GACGAGGGACCUAGCGUUGUUCGGAAUCAUUGGGCGUAAAGCGGGUGUAGGCGGACUUAUAAGUCAGGUGUGAAAUCCCAGGGCUCAACCCUGGAAGUGCAUUUGAUACUGUAAGUCUUGAAUGUGGUAGAGGUUACUGGAAUUGCUGGUGUAGUGGUGAAAUACGUAGAUAUCAGCAGGAACACCGGAGGCGAAGGCGGGUAACUGGGCCAACAUUGACGCUGAGACCCGAAAGCGUGGGGAUCAAACGGG